ensembl:lncRNA
AAAGAAUAUAAAGGUAGCAUGGCAGCUGCCCUGAGAGGGGCCGGGCUGCAGAGAGGACUCAGAUGUGGGGAUCCAGAGCUACCGAGAGCUGUGCUGCUGCUGGCAGAAGGUCAGUCUCUACACUAUAGAGGUUGGAGCAUUCAGCACUGAGUGGAAAAGCAGUUUGUGUCCUGCAGACAGUGAUAACCCAGGUUUCGUAUCUUCCUCAGUCAGCAGUGAGGAAAAGGCGAGCAGAAACUGGCAGGGAAGACACAAAAGCAGUGACCCCCUCCGGCCCCUCCCCAUUCCUACACGAAUGUAAGGCACACAGCGCAGCACCACAAUGCAGCAACAGCUACACUGGGCAGCCUGUCUGGACAGAGUCCAGCCUGAACAAAGACG